rnacentral:misc_RNA from 1 species
UUUCCGUAGGUGAACCUGCGGAAGGAUCAUUAUUGUAUAACCGAGGUGCGAGGGCUGUCGCUGACCCGAAAGGUCGUGCACGCCCGAGUGCCCUCACACGCAUCCAUCUCACCCCUAUGUGCACCACCGCGUGGGUCCCCCCUUGGCUUGUUCGGAGGGGGGCUUACGUUUUCACACAAACUUUGUAUGCAGUGUAGAAUGUAUUUUUUGUUUUUGCGAUCACGCAAUCAAUACAACUUUCAACAACGGAUCUCUUGGCUCUC